AAAAAGUUGAAGUGAAAAGUGGCACUUUUUCUGUGAAUAAAUCGGUGAAUGAAAUGAUUCACUGUGGGUUGUUGGACUAUGCGACCGGAAUCUUUUCGUGAAAGAUUGGUCCAUAGUCAACCCAUAACGGUCCCGGGACACCGUGACAGUCAUCUUGACUCUGCAAGAUGAAAUCAGAUUUGGCCAAUUAUCCAAGUUGGGCGAUCCCCUUCCAACAACUCCAUAGGUGGAGAAAGAUGAGGGCAAUUUCAUUCACCCCUCGCCUCCUUCUCCGAUCCUACCAGUGUUGGUAUGGAUCCCCGUAAUAAAUCAGAUGUUUAUCCUUUCGGCGGUGAUUGGCACCAAGUGACUGGGGCAAAUAAUAAUCCCACACAGCACCAGAAUUGGGCAAUCUGCCAUAGGUAAGGAACUGGAAAAUAA